AGUAAGUUUAUGACAUGUGGACAUGCGCAGAUCAGUCCUCUCUGAAAUGCCUAAACCCAACCAAUCAAGGUGCUUCGUGGGGCGGGUCUUGGCGUUGCGGGAAUCAUAAUUUUGCAGACGGUCGUUACAAGUCACCUCACCACAUGCCGCAACUGACCAGGUGGAGCUGGACCUAUACAUCGCUUCUACGGCACUUUUGAUUAUCUUCAGCCGAGAUUCUUGUGCUUGGCACACUUAUUUGGCUCAAGCAGAAUGGUAAUCAAUCCUCCACACAUUCCAUAAUCCCAGCAAUAAAAGAUACUGUGGACAGUCCAUCAUACCCAGGACUACAGUAUCCUAGAUGCCAACCACAAAAUGGAAGAAAUGAAGAAAAAACAACCAAACGUGGCACUCUCAUUUCACAAAUGAUGGACCAAUCAUUCCCACUAUGCAGACAAGAAAUUGUAAAAAACAAGGGCCUGCUGUACAGAACAUGGUUGAACGAUGGCCAGCACUUUUCACAGAGAGACAGGUGUUUGCUGAGUUUAAUAGAAUCGCCAGUAAGAAUCUUGAGGGAGACUUGAGGCUUUGGACCAGUAUGCCCCACGUUUCAUUGAACUUUUCAAAACAAAAAGGGAACUGUUGGCCAGAAACUCAAGGAGCUGAUGCAGCACAUGAGCUGGCUGACACCAGGCUCUAGAAUGCAUCACUGUUGGUGUCCUGAUGGUUGUCAGUGAAGAUAGUCCUCACGAGGGUCAAAGCUUAGUGGUCCUCCAGCCCAUCUCCACUGCCAUCAUUCUGGAGGGAGGUAUUGUUAUGGAUAAUGUUAAGAACUUGCCUCAAGUCUUUUGUUUGGGAUUACCCAAAAUGCAUGGCAAAUACACUCAACUUUAUUUAGACUGUGAUGCUUGGACUGGGAAAGAAAAACCUCCCACCAAAACGGUUGACUCUGAAGAACAGUCUUCUGGGUUAAAGAGCUGUCCGAUAGAACUUUGGAAGCUUUGCAGCCAUUAAUGUUCUCCUGUUGUUAGAUACAGUUUGAUGCUUUCAUGCAACUGUAUUUGCUUCUGAUCUUAAUAAAUAAAAGAAAUUCCAUUAAAGUCUGUAAUGUUAUCCAGGUAUGCUAAUGUUGGAAAUGGAGCCACCGUGUUUUAUUAAGAGUUGUUAGUUGUUAUUAGAUGAUAAUGUCAGAAAAUAACCUACCACGGUUGUCCUGUUUACAUUUGUGUUUUAGGAAAGCUUUUUAUAGUUGUAAUUUAGUACAAAUACAAACCCCAAGGAGUGAUGUUUUUGUUUGUUGCUUUAAUCCUUUCACUGCUCACUUUGGGACACAAAAGCAUUUGUUGUACUUUCAGUUUAAAAUGCAAUUUUUAACUGAAUGCAAUUUUUUUAAUGUAAAAAAAGUUACAUUUUAACUCUCUACAGUUAAAUCAACCACAACUUUGUUUAGCUGCUGUUAUGUACAUGAAUGUGCAUUGAAUAAAUGUUGUAAUG